rnacentral:rRNA from 1 species
GAUCCUGGCUCAGAACGAACGCUGGCGGCAGGCUUAACACAUGCAAGUUGAACGGGAUUUGUGUGGUGCUUGCACCAUAUAAUGAGAGUAGCGCACUGGUGAGUAACACGUGGGAACGUACCUUUUGGUGGGGGACAACAUCUGGAAACGGAUGCUAAUACCGCAUAAGACCUGAGGGUGAAAGAUUUAUCGCCGAAAGGACGGCCCGCGGGAAGAUUAGGCAGUUGGUGGGGUAAAGGCCUACCAAACCUACGAUCUA